rnacentral:rRNA from 1 species
GACGAACCUUGGCGGCGAGCUUAACACAUGCAAGUCGAACGGAAAGGCCCUGCUUUUGUGGGGUGCUCGAGUGGCGAACGGGUGAGUAACACGUGAGUAACCUGCCCUUGACUUUGGGAUAACUUCAGGAAACUGGGGCUAAUACCGGAUAGGAGCUCCUGCUGCAUGGUGGGGGUUGGAAAGUUUCGGCGGUUGGGGAUGGACUCGCGGCUUAUCAGCUUGUUGGUGGGGUAGUGGCUUACCAAGGCUUUGACGGGUAGCCGGCCUGAGAGGGUGACCGGCCACAUUGGGACUGAGAUACGGCCCAGACUCCUACGGGAGGCAGCAGUGGGGAAUAUUGCACAAUGGGCGGAAGCCUGAUGCAGCAACGCCGCGUGCGGGAUGACGGCCUUCGGGUUGUAAACCGCUUUCGCCUGUGACGAAGCGUGAGUGACGGUAAUGGGUAAAGAAGCACCGGCUAACUACGUGCCAGCAGCCGCGGUGAUACGUAGGGUGCGAGCGUUGUCCGGAUUUAUUGGGCGUAAAGGGCUCGUAGGUGGUUGAUCGCGUCGGAAGUGUAAUCUUGGGGCUUAACCCUGAGCGUGCUUUCGAUACGGGUUGACUUGAGGAAGGUAGGGGAGAAUGGAAUUCCUGGUGGAGCGGUGGAAUGCGCAGAUAUCAGGAGGAACACCAGUGGCGAAGGCGGUUCUCUGGGCCUUUCCUGACGCUGAGGAGCGAAAGCGUGGGGAGCGAACAGGCUUAGAUACCCUGGUAGUCCACGCUGUAAACGGUGGGUACUAGGUGUGGGGUCCAUUCCACGGGUUCCGUGCCGUAGCUAACGCUUUAAGUACCCCGCCUGGGGAGUACGGCCGCAAGGCUAAAACUCAAAGGAAUUGACGGGGCCCCGCACAAGCGGCGGAGCAUGCGGAUUAAUUCGAUGCAACGCGUAGAACCUUACCUGGGUUUGACAUGGAUCGGGAGUGCUCAGAGAUGGGUGUGCCUCUUUUGGGGUCGGUUCACAGGUGGUGCAUGCCUGUCGUCAGCUCGUGUCGUGAGAUGUUGGGUUAAGUCCCGCAACGAGCGCAACCCUUGUUCACUGUUGCCAGCACGUUAUGGUGGGGACUCAGUGGAGACCGCCGGGGUCAACUCGGAGGAAGGUGGGGAUGACGUCAAGUCAUCAUGCCCCUUAUGUCCAGGGCUUCACGCAUGCUACAAUGGCUGGUACAGAGAGUGGCGAGCCUGUGAGGGUGAGCGAAUCUCGGAAAGCCGGUCUCAGUUCGGAUUGGGGUCUGCAACUCGACCUCAUGAAGUCGGAGUCGCUAGUAAUCGCAAAGCAGCAACGCUGCGGUGAAUACGUUCCCGGGGCU